GCUAAUGCUGUAUUGGAUUCAGUGCCCCUUUGACUGCGCGUUUGUCCUCGUUCAGGCCGAUAAGCCUCCUGUGAGCAACAUCAGUAGCUGAGACGGUUGCAGAGAUCCGCCUGCCGCGUGUAAUGGAUUUCACGGACGCCGAUCGACCGCUUCGAGGGAAGAAAACGCUCGGUGCUGAAUGCUGCUGUAAUAAAGUUAUAACACUUACUUACACUCAUGCAAGAAACGUGUGAAGGAUGUUUCAGAGGCUGACUUAAUUAAGUAUUAGUUUAGUGUUUUUUACCCUCUUGGUGGCCUGUCUGCUGCAGACUGGUCAAAACGAGUCAUAUUUUUGAAAGGAAAAACCAAUAAGCACAAGGAAAGAACCCGUGAUGAAGCCUCCAUGUGUAAAGUCCCUGAACCAAUGAAAUUGCCUCAAGCGACGCGGCCGUGGCAGAAAAAAAGUGAUGAAUCCCCCCCCGCGGAGGGCUGCCCGGAGACGAGAUCUGCAACAAUGCAAGAAGAGGUAAAAAUGCGUCUCUUCGGGGCUUCGUGCUGCUUUCGCCACUGGCUGUUUGCUGUGGUUCAGUUCGACGCCAUUAAACAAAUCCACAGUAAUCACAAAUACGGAGCGCGGGACGCCGUUCUGUGCCGAGCCUCUAGUAAUGGACUAAAUGAGCCUCUGCGCUUGUUUGCGUGUUCCUAUCAGCUGGGGAUGUGAUUGUAAAUUAGAAGAACUUAGCUUGCCGCUCGCCCGCUGCUGACUUGGGAAUGGUAUUGGAUUACAGCGACUCUAAUAGUGUCCCCCUAAUGUCUCCCUUAGAAAGCCUCCUGGCCUCUCACCGACGGGGAACGUUUUCUUUUUAUACUUAAUC
ensembl:lncRNA